AGCAGCCGCGGUAAUUCCAGCUCCAAUAGCGUAUAUUAAAGUUGUUGCAGUUAAAAAGCUCGUAGUUGAAUUUUAGGCCUGGCCGGGCGGUCCGUCUUUGGCGAGUACUGUCCUGUGUCGGGUCCACCUUCCGGUGAACCAGUAUGUCCUUUAUUGGGUGUGCCGGGGAGCCAGGACCAUUACCUUGAAAAAAUUAGAGUGUUUAAAGCAGGCAUUUGCUUGAAUAGAUUAGCAUGGAAUAAUAGAAUAGGACGUUGUGGUUCUAUUUUGUUGGUUUCUAGGACCACCGUAAUGAUUAAUAGGGAUAGUUGGGGGCAUUAGUAUUCAAUUGUCAGAGGUGAAAUUCUUGGAUUUAUUGAAGACUAACUAUUGCGAAAGCAUUUGCCAAGGAUGUUUUCAUUAAUCAAGAACGAAAGUUAGGGGAUCGAAGACGAUCAGAUACCGUCGUAGUCUUAACCAUAAACUA
rnacentral:rRNA from 1 species